rnacentral:rRNA from 1 species
UACGGAAGGGGCAAGCGUUGUUCGGAAUCAUUGGGCGUAAAGGGCGUGUAGGUGGUUCUGUAUGUCUACCGUGAAAGCGUACGGCUCAACCGUAUUUAGUCGGUAGAAACUGCAGGACUUGAGGCUGGGAGGGGCUGGUGGAAUUCCCCGUGUAGCGGUGAAAUGCGCAGAUAUUAGGAAGAACACCGGUGGCGAAGGCGGCUCUCUGGAACGGUACUGACGCUGAGACGCGAAAGCGUGGGGAGCGAACAGG